UUCCCAAAAACCACCUGCAAUUACGCAAGCGACCAGUAGGGGUCACCAACCCCCUGGUUGAGUAACGGUGAUGUACCGUGUGUAGCACACAUUUAUAUUUACACAAAUCAGAGUGAUGAUGAAUAAUGUAUAAUAUACAUUACUCAAUGAUAGGAUGCAAAUUAAAAGUAAUAACUAAAAUAGCGUUUGCUCAAAAUGUUAUUAAAUCUUUAUUUUUUUUAUAAAGGAUUGGCUAAGUAACCGUGCAGAACUGACGAAAUCAAACCGAUAGUGAGCGUUUUGUUACAGAAUAUUAUUAUCAUUUUGUUUUAUAAUAUUUCAUUGAUAUUUUUAUGUAAUAUUUGUAACACUGAUGAGGAACGGUAGACUGAACCUCACUGCAGUCAUACAACGACAAAAAAAAGAUGUGCAUUUUCGUAUUUGUUUAUUUAUUGGACAAGGUUUGUAAAUGACGUGGUUAGAUUAGACUUGAGCAGUUCCUGAGUGUGUCACUGUUAUUAAGUGUGUGUUGUGAAAAUCGUGUACUUUCUCGAUAGACUCCAGUGUCUCGGCGUACUUCUCCUCCGUCUGUCUGAUCUCAGCCAAGCAGCAGCUCCUGAUGUCUGUCUCCACCUGUUUCUGAAAUCACACAGGUCACACACAUUAGGAUACAGGGUCCAAUGUUGGAUGGUGAGGUGGGCGGAGCUUGUGUGUGACUCACCGGUGGAGCUCCAGCUUCCAUCUUCAUCAGGUCUUCAUAAACUUCACCACCAUCAUCAUCAUACACACAGUCAUACAGGUCCUCUUCAUCAUCCACGCCAUUCUCACUGGAGAUCAGACAGUCAGAGAUCAGACAUUAACACACACACACACACACACACACACACACACACACACACACAGUCAUACAGGUCCUCUUCAUCAUCCAUGCCAUUCUCACUGGAGAUCAGACAGUCAGACAUCAGACAUUAACACACACACACACACACACACACACACACACACACACAGUCAUACAGGUCCUCCUCAUCAUCCAUGCCAUUCUCACUGGAGAUCAGACUUUCAGAGAUCAGACAUUCAGAGAUCAGACAUUAACACACACACACACACAGUCAUACAGGUCCUCCUCAUCAUCUACACAUUUCUCACUGGAGAUCAGACUUUCAGAGAUCAGACAUUCGGAGAUCAGACAUUAACGCACACACACACACACACACAGUCAUACAGUUCCUCAUCCACACCAUUCUCAGGCAGAGAUCAGAUAGAUCAGACAUCAAUAUAAAUUACAGAUAUUCUACACUGUCCACACAAUUUUGACUGCUGAUCAGACAGUCAGAGAUCAGACAUUAACACAUGCACACAGUCUUACAGACAGUCUACAUCAUCCACACCAUUCUGGUUGCUGAUCAGACAGUCAGACAUCGUCAAAUACAGGCUAUGAGAUUAGGACAGAGAUCAGGCAUUGAUGCACACAAGAUAUUAGACAGAUAUUACCACAUAAAGAUUAGACAAAUAGACAUUAACACACACACACACGCUGGCCAUUAAUACACAAAGAGAUUAGACAUCAGCACACAGAUUAGACAUCAGUAUACACUGAGAUGACACAAGAACAUUAGACAUGAACACACUUUACUGUGCAAAUAAUGACUAGGGCUUUAUGUGUCUGUCACGUCACAGUCUAUUAUUUUGUGUGUGUGUGUGUGUGUGUUUGUGUGUGUGUAGAUCUAUUUUUCUGGUGUUAAGUAAUUCCAGAAACACACACAGCUCUUCAGAGAAAAGGGUUCCAAAAACACCCUCCCAAAAACACAUACACACACACACACACACACACACACACACACACAUCUGGAGAAAACAAUAUCCAAAUUACAAAAGCAGGACAUCUGGGCACACACACACACACACACACACACACACACACACACACACACACUCACACACACACACUCACACCAUUUGAGUGAAACAGCUGUGGCCGUGAGCUAUCAGUGUCUCCAAGCACAGCUGAUCCCAUGUUUAUGGAUGAGUAUUACUAGUCAAGCAUGAGCACACAUGCACACACACACACACACACACACACACACACACACACACACCAGAUGAAAUUUCAGGGUAGGACUGGGACAUUAUGAUGCAAUCACGAUUAGCUAGCUUCGUGGCGAAUUGCUAAUCCUUGCUAGCUAGCAUUGUUAACGGAAAACUAAUUAGCUACGACUUUGCCCAUGUAAUGUUAGCGAGAAAAAACACAGCUAAAUAUAAAGUAAAUAAUAUUCAAA
ensembl:lncRNA